GAUGAACGCUGACAGAAUGCUUAACACAUGCAAGUCUACUGGAACUUCGGGUUGGGUGGCGGACGGGUAAGUAACGCGUAAAGAACUUGCCUCACAGAGAGGGACGACAUUUGGAAACGAAUGCUAAUACCUGAUAUUAUGAUUUUAGGGCAUCCUAAAAUUAUGAAAGCUAUAUGCGCUGUGAGAGAGCUUUGCGUCCCAUUAGCUAGUUGGAGAGGUAAAGGCUCACAAAGGCGAUGAUGGGUAGCCGGCCUGAGAGGGUGAACGGCCACAAGGGGACUGAGACACGGCCCUUACUCCUACGGGAGGAAGCAGUGGGGAAUAUUGGACAAUGGACGAAAAGUCUGAUCCAGAAAUUGUGUGUGCAAGAAGACGUUUUGCGUAAUGUAAAGUGUUUUCAGUUGGGAAGAAAAAAAUGACGGUACCAACAGAAGAAGUGACGGCUAAAUACGUG
rnacentral:rRNA from 1 species